UACCUGCAGCUCAAGUGGUGACCGUUAUUAUUGGGCCUAAAACGUCCGUAGCCGGUCUAUUAAAUGCCUGGGUAAAUCGUGUAGCUUAACUAUACGAAUUCCGGGUAGACUGAUAGACUUGAGAUCGGGAGAGGCUAGAGGUACUCCUGGGGUAGAGGUGAAAUUCUGUAAUCCUGGGGGGACCACCAGUGGCGAAGGCGUCUAGCUAGAACGAGUCUGACGGUGAGGGACGAAGCCCUGGGGCGCAAACGGGAUUAGAUACCCCGGUAGUCCAGGGUGUAAACGCUGCUUGCUUGAUGUUAGUCGGGCUCCGAGCCCGAUUAGUGUCGGAGAGAAGUUGUUAAGCAAGCUGCCUGGGAAGUACGGUCGCAAGACUGAAACUUAAAGGAGUUGGCGGGGGAGCACAGCAACGGGUGGAGCGUGCGGUUU
rnacentral:rRNA from 1 species